AGCAGUAGCCACGGUAAUACAGAGGGUGCAAGCGUUAAUCGGAAUUACUGGGCGUAAAGCGCGCGUAGGUGGUUUGUUAAGUUGGAUGUGAAAUCCCCGGGCUCAACCUGGGAACUGCAUCCAAAACUGGCAAGCUAGAGUAUGGUAGAGGGUGGUGGAAUUUCCUGUGUAGCGGUGAAAUGCGUAGAUAUAGGAAGGAACACCAGUGGCGAAGGCGACCACCUGGACUGAUACUGACACUGAGGUGCGAAAGCGUGGGGAGCAAACAGGAUUAGAGACCCGCGUAGUCCCUGUCUCUUAUAC
rnacentral:rRNA from 1 species